rnacentral:rRNA from 1 species
CACGUAGGGGGCAAGCGUUGUCCGGAUUCAUUGGGCGUAAAGAGCUCGUAGGCGGUUUGGUGAGUCGGGUGUGAAAUCUCCACGCUCAACGUGGAGGGGCCACCCGAUACUGCCAUGACUAGAGUCCGGUAGGGGAGCGUGGAAUUCCCGGUGUAGCGGUGAAAUGCGCAGAUAUCGGGAGGAACACCAGUGGCGAAGGCGGCGCUCUGGGCCGGAACUGACGCUGAGGAGCGAAAGCGUGGGUAGCAAACAGG